CAUCCCCUAUUCCCCUUAGUCAUCAAGAAAAAUGAACGCAUCACCGCCAGAACUGGUGAGAGAUAAGAAAAGAAGAGUAAGGAAGACAAUACCCGUUGAAAAGAAGAGAGGGAUGCUCAACCCAAGAAGAGGGGGAACUGAAGGCUCCGACCCCGAAAAGGGUCCAAGGAAGCUUCAAUAUUCCUAAUUACUAUCAUCUUAUGAUACUGGAAUUGAAUGAGCUGAAAUUCCACUAUCUAGAUGUGGUCCCAGCAACACUUUGCUUGGUCAGAACUCCGCUAACUUGAAAGAACUUGUGAUUUGGGCAGAUACCGAUGUAGAUGCCAAUAUGGAACCUUUCACAGAAUUUUUUGAAGUACAAGAAGGAGCCGACUGCUUCCUGAACCAAUUUCAAAAUGAAAGUUUCUACUCACCAUUAAACCUGUUCUGAAGACAUUGAGGGUUCACAUCUUCACAGGAGACGUAGUUGAUGCCAUGGUUGAAUCAAGAAUAGGGAAAGAAUUGAUUCAAUGCCCACGAGUGUGGCGGAAAGAUAAAAUGAAUAUUUUGAAUCAUAAUCUUACAAGGAAUCACCACCCUCUGAAUGAUUACAUCGCCCUAUUUUUGUGGCUCUCUUCUCGACAAACCACCGCCCAUUUUUAAAGACUGAUUGACACGGCGCCUUAAGCAUGCUUAAGAAUCCUGUCUCCCCGGUAGACAAUGAAACCAAUAAAGGCAUACAAUUACCAUUUAAUGGGAACCACACCAUGUACAAGAUGGAAGCCAACUAUCAAUCUAAAUAUCUAUUCGAAGACCCUUCAUGAAUUUUAAACUUUUAAAAGCAUAAAUGAGAACCAUCAAGUACCUUCUUCCUGCUUAUGGCAUGGCUAUUCCAAAGUUUGUAGUCAGUUUGAUUAUUGGAAUAGAUAAGGUAGACAGAGGUUUACAUAAGAGGAAAGUAGCCUAAAAUUCUAGUCACAGCUGAGUCUUACAACUUUAUAUGAAAGAAAGCCAGGCUCCAAGUUCAUUUCUUGUUCCACUAAAUGCAAUAAAGUCAAAAGUUGUGUGUGUGAAAUGUACAACUUAGAAUUCUUUUUGUUUCUAGUUUUACUGGUAUCAGAAUCAGAUUCAAACUCUCCUCACCAAUCUUUUAUUUUGCAUUGUACUAAUAAGCUCUUCAGUGCCUUCCAUUUUUGGGUGGGCAAAAUCAUUUUUAUGCUUUUGCAUAGAAGGCCAACAAGAAUCUUUGAAUAGGAAAUUAGAAUCAUAAUGGAACAACAUACAUUGGUACAUGUUUGUAAUAAU